GCUUGAGAGCCGCUGCAACUGUCGGGGAUUUAUUAGGUGAUGAAUACACGGCAAUCUAUGGAAGGGCUGAACAGCAUCAAAAGAAGGCAACGAGCCUCAUGUGGCCUUCCUAAUCUGAAAACGAGCCAAGAGAAAGAACGUGUUCCGAAGUGUUGAAAGAAAGGCCUAUUCUCUGCCUAGGGAACUGCAGCUAAUACAGGAAAUGAACACAAGUUUUCUGUAAGCCGUCCAGCUUCUGAAUCAGCUGUUCCUCGCUGAAAACCUUCUCCCCCCACCCCCCACCUCCAAAUCUAAAGACUGAAUGCCAAAUAUUAAAGUUAUGAAAAAUGUGAGUGUUUUCCUCCUCUUUCCCGUGUUCCUUCAAAGCUGUGUAAAUCUAACU